rfam:Triticum aestivum genome assembly, contig: Triticum_aestivum_CS42_TGACv1_scaffold_146316_2BS
UUGGUACUCCCUCCGUCCCAAAAUUCUUGUUGUAGCUUUGUCUAGAUACGGAUGUAUCUAAUACAAAAACGUGACUUGAUACAUUCGUCUUUAGACAAAUUUAAGACAAGAAUUUCAGGACGGAGCGAGUACUAU